UCAAGAUAAAUAAGUCACUGAGUUUUCCUGUUUUAAGUUUAAUAUUUAUGUACCGGUAAUCUUAUUUUGGGUUAGUAGUUCAAUACUAUAGUAUAAGAAGAAUCACAUAUUAAUUUUGAGUUGUUUUUACUUCAACAUGUAUAAAAUAAACCUUUUGGGAAAAGAUGCUUAUUUUGUCAGCUUAACAAGAUUUAAUGUCACAAAAUUUAUUGUUUUUGAAAUAUUAAAUUACAUUUUUAUCAUUUAAAUUGGCUGUUUACAUGACUAAAAGAAAACUGCAUAUUUGGUAAAUUUUGUCAGAUGGUAUGGUAACCUAUCAUAAUAGUUGCUACUUCAUUUGGUUUCUCAUGGAAUUAAACAGUCCUUUGAGAUGUGUUUUUCCUGUAUCAGAAAUUCAUUCUUUUAAUUAUUCAAUCAUAAACAGAAGUAUUCAUAAUUUCUUAUCAAAAAAAAGAUAUCCAUUUGUCUUUAUGAUUUUUUUUAAAAAUUUGGUUCAUAUUUUAAAAGUCAAACAGUUUGAAUUGAUUCCUGUCCCAAUUAGGAGCAAAAUUUCAUUCAAUCAAUUUAGUUGUAAACUUUUUAUUUUGAGGCCAAAUAAAAAUAUAUGUGUGGUUCCAGUAACCCUACCGUCCCUACUUUUUCUGCUUAAAAAUAGCCUACCCUAAAGAUUUUAUUGUCAUUUUUCAUGAAGCACUGUUAAAGUCAGAAUGUUGCUCCCAUAGAAUCAGUGUAAAAAAAAAAACAUAAAAUAAAAAAAAAUUCCCUACCUACCUACCCUAACUUUUUUUCAGAUGUAACUGGAACCACACAUACUUUUUUAUUUGGCCUGAUAAGUAUUGGAGUUUGAUUUUUUUUCUAAAUAAUUUUAGAUAGAACAGAUAAACUAACAAAAUGAGUGAAUGUAAAAUAUUGAGUGUUUGUUUUUUUGAAAAGAUAAAUUUAUUUUCAAAUGGAAUGAUAGAUCGUUUUGAAUAUUGACUUUCAUAUCACAUGAAUUGUUUGUAUAUAUGUAUGUAAAUAUGUGAGAAUGAUAUUUAUUUUUUAUUCUCUUUGCCAUAUGUGUUCUUAAUAAUAUAAUUUCUACAGGCAUGUGUGUUUGAGUGUGCACUUUGUCUUUUUAAAGUUUAUGCAUUCUUUAACUUUACUGUCUAUCAAUAAUUAAAAAAAGAAAUUAAUUAUUUAUAUAUCUUCUUCGUCUAGAAGUGAAAUGAUUUUAUUUCCUCCCCCAAAAGACCUUGCAUUUUAUAAAUGAAUAUACAAUGAUAAGAAAUAGUUAUACAUAAUUUUUGAAGAAAAAAGACCAUUACUUAGUUAUGCAAACAUAUGGCAAAUAUUUCAUUCUGUUUAAGCUUUCAUUUACUCUCUGUUUGAAAACACAAGUGUGUAAUCCUAACAUAAUCAUGAAGUUUCUUGUAUUAAACAUAAAUUGAUUAUUUUUUUCUCAUAUGAAGGAGCAGUUUAAUGUACAAUGUACAUGUUUCAAGUGCAGGGGAAGUUACAUGUACAUGUACAUGUAUUUUCCAUUGAUAAUUUGUGAACAUAAAAAAUUAUUACAAAGAGAGUGUUUUGUCUUUUAUAUUAGUCUUUAAUAAUAAUAAUAUUGUGUCGAAGCAGCAUCUAAGGAAAGUUAUUUGAACACGUUUUUAUAUAAAUGAAAAAUAAGAUUGGUCAUGAAAGGUGUCUGAAUGACCAGUACAACAAACUGAA
rnacentral:lncRNA from 1 species